GCAUAGCUCAGUUGGUUAGAGCGUGGUGCUGAUAACACCAAGGCUGCAGAUUCAAUCUCCAUAUGCGACA